GCUGCUGACGCCACCGCCCCUCACCGGCGACGCAGCCUAGGCCUAGAUGUCUCCUACUGCCUCCAUUGCUCGGUCGCUGCCGCAGAGCCUCCCCGUGCCGUGUUUUUCAAACCGUGUACCUGCCAGGAGCAACUUCCCGAUGGUUCUGUGAUGAUUCUAUGAGCUGGAUGUAGGAAAUGGCCAUGGUGGAAGCUGAAAGAGGGAAGGUAUCCAAGAAGGGAUCAAUCAUAGACAUGUGUUGAGGGCUGGUCGAACUCAAGGAGAUGGAAACUACAAGAUUUUGAGCAUGAUACAAAUCAGCCCCUCAUUGGAGAUGAUCUGUCAAAAGAGGAUUCACAACUUCAUGACUCUGUUGGGAGGCUGAGAAACAAACUUGGUGAUAUUAACA